AAAAAAAAAAAAAAAAAGAAAGACCUCAAAUUUCAUGCUUAAUCUUACUACUCAACCCAUGAAUAUCAACCGACAGAGAGUGGAUUGUAGUCGACUAAUUUCCAUACACUGCAUAAUUGUACAAAGUACAGCAACAAACCCUAAUCUCAAGCAAACAGAGAAUCAAAAAGCUUCUACCAUAACAUAAUUUAAUAAAAAAAACACAAUUGCAAAGAUCUAAACAAUCUUCAAUCAAGCACUCAUUUCAAACAUCUUCAGCUUACUGCAGAACCGUGUCUUCAAGCAUCAAAAAAUAAACAAUUAAUAUGAAUUCUUCACAGGAUUUAAAAGUUUUUUAAAAAAUUGAUAAAUUUCCUCUAAAGCUUACACAGAUUAGACUGAAAAAGAUUAAUCACCUCCAAAAUUUCAUUAACCACCAUUACCAAGCUCAAUUAAGCAACAAAUCAUUCGAGAAUUUAACAUUGCAGAAAAGAAAAAUAAGCUAAUUCUCAAAGCAUGUCAGUUGGAAAAAAAUUAAAAAUCAAAUUUAGAAUUUAUAAACAGUA
rnacentral:misc_RNA from 1 species